rnacentral:rRNA from 1 species
GUCCUUUUGAUUUAAUUUAAGGUCUGACCUGCCCGUUGAUAUAAAAUUAUUGAAAGGCUGCGGUAUUUUAACUGUACGAAGGUAGCAUAAUCAUUUGUCUUUUAAUUGAAGGCUAGAAUGAAUGGUUUGAUGAGAUAUAUUCUUUAUUUAUAUAAAUAUCUUGAAUUUAAUUUUUUAUUUAAAAAGAUAAAAUUUUUUUAUAGGACGAGAAGACCCUUUAGAAGUUUACUAAUUUUAUUAAUUUUUAUUUUUUGUUUAUUAAAUAAAUUUUUUGAAGUUUUAGUUUUGUUGGGGUGACAUUAAAAUUUUUUAAACUUUUAAUUUUUAUUUCAUGAAUUAAUGUUUUUUUGAUCCAGAUUUUUUGAUUAAAAGUUUAACUUACCUAAGGGAUAACAGCGUAAUUUAAUUGGAGAGUUCACAUUAAUAAUUAAGUUUGCGA